rnacentral:rRNA from 1 species
GUCCUUUUGAAUUUAAUUUAAGGUCUGACCUGCCCAGUGAUGAAUUUAACGGCCGCGGUAUACUGACCGUGCAAAGGUAGCAUAAUCAUUAGUCUUUUAAUAGAGGGCUGGAAUGAACGGUUUCACGAGGAACUGACUGUCUCAUUUUAUUUGUUUUAAAAUUUAAUUUUUUAGUUAAAAAGCUAAAAUUUCGUUGGAAGACGAGAAGACCCUAUAGAUCUUUAUAUGAAUUUUUGUAUUUAUUUAUUUAUUAACAUAAUUACAAUAAAAUCGUAUUUUGUUGGGGUGACAAAAAUAUAUAAUCAACUUUUUCAUUUAUUUACCAUUGAUAUAUGAAUAUUAGAUCCAUUAUUAGUGAUUGAUAGACUAAGUUACCUUAGGGAUAACAGCGUAAUCCUCCUCCAGAGUUCAUAUUUACAGGAGGGCUUGCGACCUCGAUGUUGGAUUAAGAUAAUAAUUAGGUGUAGUCGCUUAAUUUAUAGGUCUGUUCGACCUUUAAAUUCUU